AUGUUUCCAUGCCCUUGUAAGGAGGAGGACUGGUCUCCAUUUGCUCUUCAAGAAGAAAAUACUUAUGAAGCCAACACAGCUAUGGGCCCCACUCACUCCAGUUCUGUUGUGAGUGUCCCUCUAGCCAGUUCAAGCUUAGCGCACAUGAAGUGUAUGUCCUGGGAAGACGCUGGAACACUUACUCUUAAGUGAGUGUUUUCACCAACACUGACCAGGUGCUGAUGGGCGGGGGUUUAUCUUCAAAUUUUUUCAAGUUUUUUACUAUGUAACAAAUCCUCUUUGUGCCCCUCCUGCUAAAGAGAUUGCUCUGCAAAAAAAUGAUCUCUGUUGUUUUCUAAGAGACAGAAAGGGUGUGGGUCUCUGA
rnacentral:lncRNA from 1 species